GUCUUACACAUGUGCACUUUUAUUGGAAUUAGUCAGUGUACAGGUUGGCCCCACCAAAUGUCUGGCACCACCACGUUCCACACAGCUUUUACAAUAUGCCCAGGGGGAAUGGAAACCUUUACAUCUUGAAUGGUAAAGCUUCGUUUUUUUUUUUGGAACAAAAAAAAAAAAAACAAAAACACAAGAUC